rnacentral:piRNA from 1 species
UGGGAGAGUGUUGUGUUGCUGUUUAC